CUUCCAUUUCCUGGCCGUCAC
rnacentral:siRNA from 1 species